rnacentral:lncRNA from 1 species
CCACCAGAAAAUACAGGGAGCAGUUUCCCUGGCAACCGCCAAGUUGCAGCUUCAGGUUGGCACACUCUGCAGUUGGAAUCAGACUGCCGGUUGCCGGAAGGGGAGCCGUGGUACGGAGGGUGGGGAUCUGGGCCUGGGAGGCAGCUGCCCUCCUCCCUGCAGGCGGCUCCCAGCCCUCCUGCCUGGGCCGCUCUCCGUGGAGCCUGAUCCUAGGCAGUGCCUGGCACAGAGAAGUCUAAGUAAACAUGUGUUGAAUGAGAGUGGCUCCCUCUAGCCAACAGAUGUGCUCCACAACAGGUGUGCGUACCUGGGAAUGUUGUCAACGGAACCAGAAACUAAAUUAAUUGCAGAAGGGACCCUCAUUUUGAAUCUGAAAAUCUUUCCACUACAAAACAUCUAGAAAUGUUGGACAAUAUAUACCAAACAUCCUCUCAGAUGCUUCACUGAACUUGCAAAAAAGUGGAUGCUCCUUUAUCUGAGUUUCCUGAGUGACUUUGAUGAACAGAGACCCCUGUCUACCUGGACGAGCAUGUAGCAUGGAUGAACAAUACAACUUUGUUUUUUUAAGCCACUGAGAUCUCGGCUCUUUUGUUACUGCAGCAUAUCCUAGCCUAUACGGACAGAUACAUGCUUAUUAAGCUCUUACCAGAGGCCAGGUAAUACACUAAACACUCCAUAUGGGUCAUCUCAUUUGGAGGACCUUAUGACAAUCUUGUAGAAAGGACACUAUAAUUAUCCUCCUUUUACUGAUGAAGUAUUGUGGGUACAGAGACAUUAAAUAACUGUCCCAAGGUCAUGGAGCGGGCAUGUGGUGGAGCUAGGAUUCCAACUCAGACAAUCUGUCUCCAGAGCUUGCAAUUAAAACCACAGCACUCUAUAGACUGUUUGGAAAAGUGGUGGGUGUUGCACAUGGAGGAGAAGAAAGGACAUUCUUUAAAACCAACCUUUGACCACCUCCUGGCUACCUCUGUGACAAAGGCAUCAAGUUAAUAAAGUCAGUAACACCGUGGAAAUUGACAUGAUCCAGACAAAAGAAUGGUUGGGGAGCUGCUCUGCCCCAGGAGGAACAUCUUGAGCUUCUUUCUAGGGAGCAGCUUUGAAGAGAAAUAAGAUUAUAAGGAAGAUCUUAGAGCAUUUUGUGGGGGAAAAUGUCUGAUAUCAAUGUUUAGUUUGGUUCCAAGUUUAUUGUAUGGCCCUUUGCCAGGUUUAGGUGACACCACUCCUGCAUACACCCGAGUGUGGGAGAUGGAUGAGUAGAAGAAUGUGCUCUGUGUGGUGGGAGGGAGACUCACAGAGCACAGGGCUGGGCACUUUGAAUGGCCUGGGGGUCCAAGAAGGCUGGGCUGGGCAUCAGAAGCCAAGGGGGCCAGGCGAGGUGGCUUACACCUAUAAUCCCAGCACUUUGGGAGGCAGAGGCAGGAGGAUCACUCAAGCCCAGGAGUUUGAGAACAGCCUGGGUAACAUAGUGAGACCCAAUCUUUUUUUUUUUUUUUUUAAAUAAAGAAGCCAAGGGAUGUCUUCUGAGCAUCCUUAGUUUCCCUUAAUAAUGUGGCAUAAAUACAUUCCCAGGGAUUUAUCUAAACCCUUUCUGAAGCUAGUUGCGUUUUUAGCCCAUACCACCUCUGGCACAAAGAAAAGUUGUUUAAAAUAGGGCCUCCUUUAACUGAUCCUAAAAGAGUCUCUUUUAAGUUCCCAGGCACGAAGGGAGACAUUAGCACUUUUGAAUUUCAUAAGAAGUCUAUGUUUCUCCUUUGCAUAUCUUUAUGGUCUUUAUACAUUCUGAUCCUCCCCUCCCAUAUUCUUAGUCAUUUGGGAUUAAAGGAGCCCACUUUUUCACAUUUUUGAGAAGAUUCUUUAAAAGACCAAAAAAAAAAAAAAAAAAAGAAAGAAAGAAAGAAAAAGAAAAAAAAAAACCCCAAAUCUCAAAGUGGUAAUUUGUGGUUUGUCUGCAUGUCAGUUCUUAGAAUUUGAGAUCCCUUGAGAAAAUCUAGAAAAAAAAAUCCCCCAACUCAGAAAUCUCUAUUCAAGGCAUUUUCCAAAUUAAAGGAAGAUUUGGGUAUUAAUUUACCCAAGUGAUUCUUUUUAUAAUGAGAUUUUUCUUUAAAUUUCUGAUUUCAAUUGGUGCUUUGUGAAAGGUUUUGCACUCCCUUCCCCUAAACUUUGAAAAGCCUGAUUCAAAAUUGGUUGGAAAAAAUAUGCAUUUCACGAAGUCAUAAAAAUAAUGAUUCUUUGCUAUCUUAUUAAACAUGUGUUUAGACACAAUCUUAGAGAAUCCAUUCAUUGUCUUAAUAGGCAACAAAGUGUAUGAAGAUGAGUAGAAACCUACAAUUAAUUGUCUUACUAACAAUGCCUGGGUAGUCCUUUCAUUUAAUUGGUCAUCUAAUAAUCUUAUUCCUUAUUUGAUUUAUUUGCUUACAGGAGCAGCGCUAAUGUAUGUAACUUGCUGUUUGCCAAUUUCUAAUGUGUGAAAUACUCAUAAUACGGUGGUCUCCAAUGACCCGACGCUGCAAAAAUGGAUGGUUCUCACAUUAGGAUGGAAAUAACUAUUGCACAAGACUCAUAAUCUUGUGAUUUGCUUCCUGCUGAAUCACUGCAGCAAGUAUGAAGCAACUUCUGUAGCAAAACAGAAAAGGGGUGCUAUUAAACUUUAAAGGGACCCCUCCAUCUGAAGAAGGUCACCUUUUAAUGAGCUGAUAUAAAUUUCUAAAGGUACCGAUGAGUCACUCAAUGCAUGGGAUGGACAGGCAUUGCUGCACUCUGUCUUCUAGCUCUCCAAUGU